rnacentral:rRNA from 1 species
UACGUAGGAUGCAAGCGUUGUCCGGAGUUACUGGGCGUAAAGCGUGUGCAGGCGGCUCUUUGCGUCGGUGGUGAAAUCUCCUGGCUUAACUGGGAGGGGGCCAUCGAUACGGGGGAGCUUGAGGGCUGGAGAGGGAAGUAGAACUCCCGGUGGACCAGUGAAAUGGGUAGAGAUCGGGAAGAAUACCUGAGGUGAAGACGGCUUCCUGGCCAGCACCUGACGCUCAUACACGAAAGCUUGGGGAGCAAACAGG